AGCGAACGCUGGCGGCAGGCCUAACACAUGCAAGUCGAACGAAGUCUUCGGACUUAGUGGCGGACGGGUGAGUAACACGUGGGAACGUGCCUUUAGGUUCGGAAUAACUCAGGGAAACUUGUGCUAAUACCGAAUGUGCCCUUCGGGGGAAAGAUUUAUCGCCUUUAGAGCGGCCCGCGUCUGAUUAGCUAGUUGGUGAGGUAAAGGCUCACCAAGGCGACGAUCAGUAGCUGGUCUGAGAGGAUGAUCAGCCACAUUGGGACUGAGACACGGCCCAAACUCCUACGGGAGGCAGCAGUGGGUAAUCUUGCGCAAUGGGCGAAAGCCUGACGCAGCCAUGCCGCGUGAAUGAUGAAGGUCUUAGGAUUGUAAAAUUCUUUCACCCGGGACGAUAAUGACGGUACCCGGAGAAGAAGCCCCGGCUAACUUCGUGCCAGCCGCCGCAGUAAGAC
rnacentral:rRNA from 1 species